GACGAACGCUGGCGGCGUGCCUAAUACAUGCAAGUUGAGCGCUGAAGGUUGGUACUUGUACCAACUGGAUGAGCAGCGAACGGGUGAGUAACGCGUGGGGAAUCUGCCUUUGAGCGGGGGACAACAUUUGGAAACGAAUGCUAAUACCGCAUAAAAACUUUAAACACAAGUUUUAAGUUUGAAAGAUGCAAUUGCAUCACUCAAAGAUGAUCCCGCGUUGUAUUAGCUAGUUGGUGAGGUAAAGGCUCACCAAGGCGAUGAUACAUAGCCGACCUGAGAGGGUGAUCGGCCACAUUGGGACGGAGACACGGCCCAAACUCCUACGGGAGGCAGCAGUAGGGAAGCUUCGGCAAUGGACGAAAGUCUGACCGAGCAACGCCGCGUGAGUGAAGAAGGUUUUCGGAUCGUAAAACUCGGUUGGUAGAGAAGAACGUUGGUGAGAGUGGAAAGCUCAUCAAGUGACGGUAACUACCCAGAAAGGGACGGCUAACUACGUG
rnacentral:rRNA from 1 species